rnacentral:misc_RNA from 1 species
GAUGAAGAACGUAGUGAAAUGCGAUAAGUAAUGUGAAUUGCAGAAUUCUGUGAAUCAUCGAAUCUUUGAACGCACAUUGCGCCCGCCAGUAUUCUGGCGAGCAUGCCUGUUCGAGCGUCAUUUCAACCAUCAAGCCCCAGGCUUGUGUUGGAGCCCUGCGGCUGCCGCAGCCUCCCAAAACCAGUGGCGGGCUCGCUAUCACACCGAGUGCAGUAGUUUACUCUUCGCUCAGGGCGUGUGGCGGGUGCUAGCCGUGAAACCCCCAACUUCUCAAGGUUGACCUCGGAUCAGGUAGGAAUACCCGCUGAACUUAAGCAUAUCAAUAAGCGGAGGA